GCUAGACUUGCUACAAUACCAGAUCAAAUAAAAACAUCCGAACCAAGUGGAAAGACAAGCUACAGCCAAAGAGAAAUUGCUCCUACAGACAAAGAAAUAUGCCAUCAUCCUCCACAGAGGCCAAGAGACCCAAAAAUAACCAGCUACAUUUGCUGUGGGGAAAAACAAACAAAGGGAGAUCAUCAAGAUCAACUUUGGUCUGUAUGCCUGGGUCCAGUGGUUCAGCUAGGGGGGCGUGGUUUGGAGAAACCUCCUCCCCUUCUUUCAUUGGUGCCUUAGAGGAAGAGCUGUGCCAGAUGUCCCGGUGAUCCACUGUGGAGAAAAUGACCUUGGGAACAUCAAGAGCAUCAAGCUUGUCGCAGGGAUCAAGCAGGACCUGCAAGAUCUCCACUGACAACUCCCUCAGAUGAAAAUCAUCUUCUCUGCCAUCACCAAGCGAUGCUGGUGGAGAUCUGCCCACCCUAAGAAGAUAGACAAAGCCCGGCGCUUUAUUAACAGUGUGAUGGUUACCUUUGUUUUGUCUGUAAGUGGAAGCAUUGGACAACAUACUCAGAUAAAGCAUCGAGGUCCUAGCAAUAUUUUGCAUGACAGAGUUCAUUUCACUGUUCUGGGAAAUAAUAUAUUUAACAAAUAUUGCCCAGUGUCUGAAAGACCAAAUCCAAUAGGAUGAUGCUGGAUUUGGAUUUCCCACUAAUGUUUUGGCAGCAAAAAAGAGGCCAGGAUUUUACACUUUGUGAUGUUUGUGCCUUUUUUUUUUUCUUUUUUUUUUUUUUUCAAACAACAUACGAGGGUAGCCAUCACACUUGUCAGUUCUGUCACAGCUUUUCCUCUCCCUUCUUCUUCUCCAAACCCUUACCUUUACCCCAGCCAUUUCACCUGAUGUACUUCCUCAGUUGUUUAUCCCCAUGGUGAAUGCAGCCAGGGGUUUGUGCAGUCAGACAAAAGUUCUGCCUGUUUUUGUGCAAAUAUUUUUUUUUAACUCUAGUAUGCAUGCCUCUGAUUUACUGUGGUAUUACACACUAUUAGAAGAACAAACAGUUUAUGUGAAAGAAUUCCUGGGUAAAGUUUUUUGCUUAACAUACAAGUAAAGACCUUUACCUUACAUCACAUUAGGUUUUAUUUAAUGCUGUCAAAGAAAACAUACAUAACAAAACAAAUGCAUUUCUCAUAUACCCCUGGGGCAGUUGACAACAGUUAAUGUUGAACAUGCCUCUCUAAGAUCAACUGCUUUUGAACUUUCUUAAACACUGAUCUGAGUGACAGUUUAUGCCAAUAAGUUUAAGGCUAAAGUAUUUUUGUCCCUGACUUCCAUAUGUUGGAUUGUUGGACAAAUGUGUAGCCCCUCAAGUAAAUAAACUCCAAGAUGGAAUACUUGCACAGUCAACACAUGGUUGUUGUUGUUAGGUGCAAACCACUGAGAACCACUUGCGCUUCUGGCAGAAUGAUGUUUGUGAAUAGUGCAGUAUACUGAUCAUUUUCCUGUCCACACACUCAACAGAUACAACAGCCAACAAAAACAAAUUAAACACAACUUCUAACUUAUAUUGGUUAACUUUACUU